AGAUUUGCACUAUCCUGAAUCUUCUGAAUUCUGUGUCUGUGUCUCCUUGGGGAAAGACACACGUAGGUCCUGGCCGUUUCUACCCGUGCUUUGGUGUUAAAGCAGCGGGGUGUCAUCAGAAUCAGUCCUUUGCCUGGGUCCCUAUAUGGCUGGCCAGUCUAUUUUCUAAUUGUUUGCUUUUUAUCUAUUUUUAAUGAUGUCCAUUACCUUGAGUGCUGUUUUUUAAGUGGGAAGGUUAAAACAUCAGUAAAGGAAGAAGAGAAAAUAAAUAAAUAGCCAGCCUCACUAUAUAAGCUCUUCCAAUUGUGGCUCCUUCUUUACCCAGGCAGAGGCAGUCCUGCAGGAGUACCUUAAGAAAAAAGAGGAUGUCGGCCGAACCAUACUUCAGAGCGAUAAAAACCUCACAGAGAAAGAGAAGGAAAUGGCAGAGGCCAAGGCGAAGGCUGAGGCAGCAGAACGAGAGCGAGAGCUCCAGAAGCAGAAGGUGGCUGAGCAGCAACAGAAGAUGGAGGAUCUGAAACGGAGCUACGAGAUGAACCGUCAGGAGCUGGAGGAGAAAAUGAAGAGAGAACGGGAGUUGCUACUGGAGGAGCAGCAGAAGAUGAUAGAAAGCAAACUUGCUGUAAAUAUCCUAGGCUUGUUUAGUAUCUGGGGCUGAGCCACCCUCCCCUCAUGCUUUCAGUUUCUUGGCUCAAUUUAUUUGUUUUCUGCGAGGAGCUGAAGAAACAGAAUGCCAUCAAUUCAAAGGAGUGGUUUUGUACUUCCCUGCCUAGACCAGUGGUUCUUAACCUUUGUUACUCAGGUGUUUUUGAACUGCAACUCCCAGAAACCUCAGCCAGCAGAGCUGAUGGUGAAGGCUUCUGGGAGUUGCAGUCCAAAAACAUCUGAGUAACAAAGGUUAAGAACCAGUGGCCUAGACCAUACCUCUGCCUCUCAUGUAUGUUUUUGAGCAGGCUGUGUUUCAUGCAGUGGCAUAGUGUGGGGCAGGGCAGAGGGGUGGUCGCCCCAGGCCACAGCCUUGUUGGGGACCUUUCGCGCCCCUGCACUCCAUUGUGCCACGGGUGUGUUUUUGAAUGGGUGCAUCGACUGUAAGAGCAGACAGACAGGCUUCUCCUGUGGCAGCCAUUUUCUGGGACUGGCCAUUCCAGGAUUGGCCCUCAAGCCCCAGAGGAUUGGAGGAAACCCUU
rnacentral:lncRNA from 1 species